AGCCCUAAUACAUUCAAGUCGAGCGCGCCCUUCGGGGUGAGCGGCGGACGGGUGAGUAACGCGUGGGAAUUUUCCCUUCUCUAAGGAAUAGCCUCUGGAAACGGAGAGUAAUACCUUAUACGCCCUUUGGGGGAAAGAUUUAUCGGAGAAGGAUUAGCCCGCGUUAGAUUAGGUAGUUGGUGGGGUAAUGGCCUACCAAGCCUACGAUCUAUAGCUGGUUUGAGAGGAUGAUCAGCCACACUGGGACUGAGACACGGCCCAGACUCCUACGGGAGGCAGCAGUAGGGAAUCUUAGACAAUGGGGGCAACCCUGAUCUAGCCAUGCCGCGUGUGUGAUGAAGGCCCUAGGGUCGUAAAGCACUUUCGCCAGAGAUGAUAAUGACAGUAUCUGG
rnacentral:rRNA from 1 species